rnacentral:rRNA from 1 species
GGGCCUUCGGCUUCAGAGACUAAGCGAAAGUGAUAAGUUAGCCACCUGGGGAGUACGUUCGCAAGAAUGAAACUCAAAGGAAUUGACGGGGGCCCGCACAAGCGGUGGAUUAUGUGGUUUAAUUCGAUGAUACGCGAGGAACCUUACCAAGGCUUAAAUGGGAAUUGACAGGUUUAGAAAUAGACUUUUCUUCGGACAAUUUUCAAGGUGCUGCAUGGUUGUCGUCAGCUCGUGCCGUGAGGUGUUAGGUUAAGUCCUGCAACGAGCGCAACCCCUGUCACUAGUUGCCAUCAUUCAGUUGGGGACUCUAGUGAGACUGCCUACGCAAGUAGAGAGGAAGGUGGGGAUGACGUCAAAUCAUCACGGCCCUUACGCCUUGGGCCACACACGUAAUACAAUGGCCAGUACAGAGGGCAGCUACCAGGUGACUGGAUGCGAAUCUCGAAAGCUGGUCUCAGUUCGGAUUGGAGUCUGCAACUCGACUCUAUGAAGCUGGAAUCGCUAGUAAUCGCGCAUCAGCCAUGGCGCGGUGAAUACGUUCCCGGGCCUUGUACACACCGCCCGUCAAGCCAUGGAAGUCUGGGGUACCUGAAGUCGGUGACCGUAACAGGAGCUGCCUAGGGUAAAACAGGUAACUAGGGCUAAGUCGUAACAAGGUAGCCGUA